rnacentral:rRNA from 1 species
GACGAACGCUGGCGGCGCGCCUAACACAUGCAAGUCGAACGGAGUCACGAGGAGCUUGCUUUUCUUGACUUAGUGGCGAACGGGUGAGUAACGCGUGAGUAACCUGCCCUGGAGUGGGGGACAACAGUUGGAAACGACUGCUAAUACCGCAUAAGCCCACGGAUCCGCAUGGAUCUGCGGGAAAAGGAUUUAUUCGCUUCAGGAUGGACUCGCGUCCAAUUAGCUAGUUGGUGAGGUAACGGCCCACCAAGGCGACGAUUGGUAGCCGGACUGAGAGGUUGAACGGCCACAUUGGGACUGAGGCACGGCCCAGACUCCUACGGGAGGCAGCAGUGGGGGAUAUUGCACAAUGGGGGAAACCCUGAUGCAGCGACGCCGCGUGGAGGAAGAAGGUUUUCGGAUUGUAAACUCCUGUCGUGAGGGACGAUAAUGACGGUACCUAACAAGAAAACACCGGCUAACUACGUG